AUUAUCACUAAAGGGAGAAUUGAAAGUAAGUUUCAAUUCACAAUCGAUUUGAAAGAGUUUUGAUCGCCCACUGCCUCGCUAAAAGGAACCUAAUGGAUCGUACACCGUAUAAGGUGGAGAUGGAUGAAACAAACUAAAUGAGUAAGAAUAAUUGAAUAGUUUAAUUAUUUAUGGCAAGGAUGAAUUAAUAUGUUAAUUAAUCAAACGAAUAAGUUCGUUAAAGACCUCGGGAUAGGUUUUGGACCUUAAGGCCCAAUAGGCUUCGAACGUCAAGCCCAUUGACUUAAGUUGUAUGACAACUUAAUGAAUAAUGAUUCACUAAGACCCAAAAGCCCAAAGAACCCCCCAUGGCCGGCCAUAUAGAGAAAG
rnacentral:lncRNA from 1 species